UACGCACGAAGGAAUAUUCAAUGGUAAUCAAAUAUCACCAGAAAUCUCCAUUAUUUCACCAUCAAUCGUGACGCCUAGGCAUGAGGUGUGAUGGCACCAAUCACAAUUGGGCUUUAAAUGUCACAGCCGUUUCACUUUCUGGGAAUCGAAGCUCUAAUUUGUUCUUUCCGUUGCUUAUCAAUCCCUCUAUAUAUAUGUUCGACUGUAUAAACCUGGUUUGUCAUCCAAACUCUAUUUCGGUUGGUGUAAUGAUAAAAGAGCUACCAUCUACUCCAGUAAACAACUUCACUGUUCGACGUGUUUUUUAAAUUUUGUAGAGAUUGAUGGUUGAUUCCUGGCUGUAGUUUGCAAAAGAUGGAGAUGAAGUCAAUACACAUAAGGUAUCAUAAGCCUCUGUCAGCGGAAACCGAAGUACAAUUAUCGUUCCUGCCGGAAGUUCCUGCGUUGAAGGGUAGGUAGCCUUCAGAAAAAUACCAGGAGAGAUCAAUGAAGCUUCAAGACUUGCAACACAAAGCUUUUGGAUUUUGAAUUGGCAAAAGGUGGCCCUACUUCCAUUUUCUCUACAGCUAGAGGAUCCUGGCUUUGAUUGUAAGGACAGAAAAUACGACAUGGGAGCCAUCCAUGAUUUUCAAAUUCAAGUUGCCGCAAACACUGGUACCUAAACAAUCUAAAACUAUUGUGUUUCCUUGGUUGUACAGCAGUGGUUGACAUGAUGAACUGGAUUACAGCAACACAUGACAAGUCUGGUGCAGUAGAAGCUACAACAAUCAGAGAUCUAAACUGGGACUGUCAAUGCCUUUUCUACUGAGCAUACAAAUAAUUUGCAACAAUGAUACGCCUUUAAUAUUUCUACAGUGGUGUAAAAUAAAACAUGACAAGUAGCAUGUUAGCUAAAUUAUUAAGUAGGAAUUACCAAUAGGUACCAUUAUAGUGUUCUUAGUUAGUGGCAGGUCCACCCAUUAAAGCCCACUAAUCAGAGGUCCAUAAUUAAGAGAAAACAUGAAAAUGGACCAAAUUUUUUAAG